rnacentral:rRNA from 1 species
CGCGUAGGUGGUUGCGUAAGUCGGAUGUGAAAUCCUGAGGCUUAACCUCAGAACUGCAUCUGAUACUGCGUGACUCGAGUGCAGCAGAGGGAAACGGAAUUCCUGGUGUAGAGGUGAAAUUCGUAGAUAUCAGGAGGAACACCGGUGGCGAAGGCGGUUUCCUGGGCUGACACUGACACUGAGGCGCGAAAGCGUGGGUAGCAAACAGGAUUAGAUACCCUGGUAGUCCACGCUGUAAACGGUGAGUACUGGGUGUGGGAGGUGUAAUGCCUUCUGUGCCGAAGCUAACGCGUUAAGUACUCCGCCUGGGGAGUACGGCCGCAAGGUUGAA